rnacentral:rRNA from 1 species
GAUGAACGCUGGCGGCGUGCCUAAUACAUGCAAGUCGAGCGAACAGACGAGGAGCUUGCUCCUUCGACGUUAGCGGCGGACGGGUGAGUAACACGUAGGUAACCUACCUAUAAGACUGGGAUAACUUCGGGAAACCGGAGCUAAUACCGGAUAAUAUUUCGAACCGCAUGGUUCGAUAGUGAAAGAUGGCUUUGCUAUCACUUAUAGAUGGACCUGCGCCGUAUUAGCUAGUUGGUAAGGUAACGGCUUACCAAGGCAACGAUACGUAGCCGACCUGAGAGGGUGAUCGGCCACACUGGAACUGAGACACGGUCCAGACUCCUACGGGAGGCAGCAGUAGGGAAUCUUCCGCAAUGGGCGAAAGCCUGACGGAGCAACGCCGCGUGAGUGAUGAAGGUCUUCGGAUCGUAAAACUCUGUUAUUAGGAAAGAGCAAACGUGUAAGUAACUGUGCACGUCUUGACGGUACCUAAUCAGAAAGCCACGGCUAACUACGUG